rnacentral:misc_RNA from 1 species
CAUGGCCACUUAUGACAAGCCCAUCCACAUGUAGGCUUUUGUUAUAUCCUCGAUAGCCUCUUUUUCUUAUUCCGUUGAGAAUCUUGAACGCUUAGAAUAGGCUUUUUGUUGCUGUUGUUACUCAAGCAGCCCAUAUUUUCCUUUAUUCGGGACUCCAAAUACACUACGUAAAUGUUCAUCUUCUGCAAUUUUUCCAUAAUAAAGAUGAGAUGUAACCUGCAGAAACAUGACUGCCAAGCACUAAGAUGGUG